CCACAGGUUCAGGGUAGCGUUUUGAACACAUGCUUCGCGUUGUGCCGGCGAAAUGCACAUUUCUUGUCGCGUUGUGCCGGCGAAAUGCACACUUCUGCAUAACUGCUUGCAGUUCUAGUUCUUAUACUUCCUACCAAGAAAGUGGUACCACAGCCCAGACCGUAAAUGUUGCCGACAUGCCAAUUGCAUGACUAGAUCCAGGUCCGUGAAGACUAUUCAGACGACAAAAUCCAGACACGCCGGCCACUAGGUGGCGCUAUACCAAGGAAAGACGCGUUUGGGGCUAUAACUCCCACACCGAACCUCCCACAGUCAAAAACUUGUACGCACAUAUUCACUGGAGUCUGCUGCAUCUUUUGGCAUAGGCCACGCCCAUUUGCGUCUAGAAUUUUUUUGCGCAAAAUCGCGAAAACCGCAAAACUGUUUUUUCGCUACUCCUCCCACAUUUCUUGACCAAUCGACACCAAACUUUGCACACGACAUCUUCAGACGCACACGCAAAGAAUGCAUGAAACACUUUUUUGAUCCGACCUUUGACAACGAAACUGUAGCAUUUGGAAUAUUGGUUUAUGAGCUAAAUUAGACGUGGAAAAUCAAAAAUCCAAAGAAAUCCAAAAUUAGACAUCGGAACGAGUCCAAAUUUUACACACAUGUUGGUGCUAACCUUAAUGUCGUUCGAUAAAAAUUUCGGAAAAUUUCGCCAUUAGGGGGCGCAAUAAACGAGGAAAUUGUAUAUCUUCUAAUUGGCCAAAGGAAUGUACUUCAAACUCAAGGGAAACCAUCAAGGGGCAAACCCGAGUCUAUAUAGAAAAUAUGGCCAAGAAUUAUUAAUGUGGGCGGGAGUUAUUUGGCAAAGGAAACGGUUUGGUUUCUUAGUUCUGCCUCGUUGUAGUUGUUUUGGGAGCGGCUAGAUUAGCAUGUCGCGAUACUACAGGGGAUCACGUCUGCGCCGAGUAGAUGCGCAGAGGGUUGAAACAGCGCUUGUCCGGUCUGCUCACAAGAAGGUUUCUUUGGCCAGUUACUGUGAUUAAACACGAGUUGUUUAAUGUUCACAAUGUAUCGUUUUUCAUGGGGAAAAUGAGAUGCGUCCCCGGGACUGGGACAAAAUAUUAAACCCGUGUUGAUAAAACGCCAUUUUGUUCAGGUGUGGGCGUGGUGUACUCCCAUGGUGCUUCGCGAGUUACACUCAUGGAAUGACUAGCGCGUCAGCAACGGCGCACGGCUCACUCUGACCGGAUUUUCUCUUCUUGAGACAUCUUUGUUCAGAUAGACCCUUUUCCUCUCCCUUCCACGGAUUAAUAUUGUGAGCGGAUUCAUUUGAGUACGUUCUGUCUUUCAACUUUGCGGUUCAACCAAAGAAGUUCGUUGUCAAGGUAAGUCCUGAUGAAAUGGAUAAUUAUGCUUGUCCGCCAUUUUGUAUGCAUCUUGUA
rnacentral:lncRNA from 1 species